GCACUCACUUUGGUAGUACAUAUAUUAAAAUUGGAACAAUACACAAAAGAUUAGCAUGGCCUCUGCAAAAAGACAACAGGCAAAUUCAUGAAGUAUUCCAUGUUGAA